CUGCAGCUAAUUAAGCCAAUCAAGCUUCUUUCCUCAUGGGGGCUUGGUGUGCAAUGGCUACAAACAGCAGCCUCCUUGGCAGUGUAUGCAGCCUGUUGCUUGUAUAGGUUGCUCUAAGGGACCUUGGAGACAUUC
ensembl:snoRNA SNORA70 Small nucleolar RNA SNORA70